rnacentral:tRNA from 1 species
GGCUGGUUAGCUCAGUCGGUUGAGCAUGGUGCUCAUAACACCAAGGUUGCAGUUCGAUCUCUGUUCGGUCC